GUGCUCGCUUCGGCAGCACAUAGACUAAAAUUGGAACGACAGAGCAGAUUAGCAUGGACCUUGCACAAGGAUGAUACACAAACUUAUGAAAAGGGAAAAAAAAAU